rnacentral:rRNA from 2 species
UUUAUUGGAGAGUUUGAUCCUGGCUCAGGAUGAACGCUGGCGGCGUGCCUAAUACAUGCAAGUCGAGCGAAUGGAUUAAGAGCUUGCUCUUAUGAAGUUAGCGGCGGACGGGUGAGUAACACGUGGGUAACCUGCCCAUAAGACUGGGAUAACUCCGGGAAACCGGGGCUAAUACCGGAUAACAUUUUGAACCGCAUGGUUCGAAAUUGAAAGGCGGCUUCGGCUGUCACUUAUGGAUGGACCCGCGUCGCAUUAGCUAGUUGGUGAGGUAACGGCUCACCAAGGCAACGAUGCGUAGCCGACCUGAGAGGGUGAUCGGCCACACUGGGACUGAGACACGGCCCAGACUCCUACGGGAGGC